CGACCCGCGAACUUGUAUAAACAACCGGGGGCAGGGGCGACCUCGGCGCCAAGGAACUUCAAUUAAAGAGUGCCUCCGGUCGCCUCGGAAACGAUGCGCCUGUCGGAGACGAAUCUUGUACAAAACCAUAACGACUCUCGGCAACGGAUAUCUCGGCUCUCGCAUCGAUGAAGAACGUGGCGAAAUGCGAUACUUGGUGUGAAUUGCAGAAUCCCGCGAAUCAUCGAGUCUUUGAACGCAAGUUGCGCCCGAAGCCAUCUGGUCGAGGGCACGUCUGCCUGGGUGUCACGCAUCGUCGCCCCCAACCCCAUCGCCUCUCCAAGAGUCGAGGGCAGUCUGUGGGGCGGACAUUGGCCUCCCGUGCGCUUCCAAUUGCGGUUGGCCUAAAAGCGAGUCCUAGGCGACGAGCGCCACGACAAUCGGUGGUUACCAAACCCUCGUGUCCCGUCGUGCGUGCCUCGUCGCUCAUCUUGUGCUCUGUGACCCUGUAGCGUUGCGAUCGCGACUCUUCCAAUGCGACCCCAGGUCAGGCGGGACUACCCGCUGAA
rnacentral:rRNA from 1 species